AACGCACCUUGCGCUCCUUGGUAUUCCGAGGAGCAUGCCCUGUUUGAGUGUCAUUAAAUUCUCAACUCUUAACCCUUUAUUGGGUUCGGAGCUUGGACUUGGAGUGUGCUGGCUUCUGUCGGCUCCUCUUCAAAUAUAUUAGCGGAUUUUACUUCUCGCAAAACUCAGCGUGAUAAUUGUUAUGCUGUGUGAACUUGAAGAGUCGCUUUUAACCGUCCUUCGGGACAAUAUAUGACCAAUUUGACCUCAAAUCAGGUAGGACUACCCGCUGAACUUAA
rnacentral:misc_RNA from 1 species